rfam:Myotis brandtii contig316571, whole genome shotgun sequence.
GGAAGUUCACAGGUGACACACCCUGGAAUCGGGCUCCCUCCUCUCUGGUUCCGGGUGCGUCACCCGAGAACCACA